rnacentral:rRNA from 1 species
UGGCGGACGGGUGAGUAACGCGUGAGUAACCUGCCCUUAGGAAAGUGAUAGCGUCUGGAAACGGACGGUAAUACCAUAUAAAGUAUAUUAACGGCAUCGUAGAUAUACCAAAGCUGAGGCGCCUAAGGAUGGACUCGCGUCUGAUUAGAUAGUUGGUGGGGUAACGGCCUACCAAGUCGACGAUCAGUAGCCGGACUGAGAGGUUGAACGGCCACAUUGGUACUGAGACACGGCCCAGACUCCUACGGAAGGCAGCAG